GCUUAGCAGGAAAAAAAUUUCAAAUUUUUUAAAAUUUUUCGUUUCAUCAAACGUGGAAACGAAAAUUUUACCGUUACAUGAGCUUUCGGAAAAAUAUUUCCUAAAAUUUCUUUCCACCCCAGCGGGGUGGAAAAAUUUUUCCGGAAAUUUUUUUUUUGCAGGGCUUCUCCUAAACGCGUCUGAUUCUCCCCUCGUCUUCCGUCGCUGCCUCACCUGCUGCUGCCUCAACCCACACGCUCCUUCAACACUGAAAGCAUCUCUUCACCAGCGCAGCGUCUAGCAGUGGUGAAAGCCGAUGCUUCCUCUAAACCAGAUUACAGGGAUGAUUCAGGUCAUGAUCCUUCUUCAGCCUCGCUCGAGGUUCCUCCUGCAGAUCCUCCUCAAUCGCGUCCAGAAGUAGCUGAAUGGGGACAUGGUGCUACAAAUUGAGAUGUCUCUGGAAAUCCACAACCCAAAUGCCAUCAUUGCCAAGAAAACGUCGAGGUGUACUUUGAGAAAUCUUGCUUUCUCACUGGUGGAGGCAGGGCAGGACAGCGGGAGGCACGGUGGGGCGCGAUGGUGAUGACGGUGCCGACGGCUUGUGGCAAAACUGGUGACUGUAACGGCCUACGGGAGCAAGGUGGAGAACAGCGAUGGUGGUUACAACUUACCAUCGAAGUUCCAACUUCCAAUAGGUUCCGAAGCAGAGCAAUAGUCGUCGGGACUGCGAUGGCAAUUGCAAAGGCGAGGGCAUGUGGGAGCAGGCAGCAAUAGUAGCGGCGAGGCAGCGCAGCAAGUGUGGUGAUGACUAGGCAGUGGCUGUAGGAUGGUAAGGUAGGGCUGCAGGCAAUGGCGACGGUGUGGGCUGGGCUGCAAGCAACGGCGACGGCAACGAUGAAACCCUAACCGGACUUCCAAAAAAAGCAAAAAAAGGAGAACACAACACAAGGUGACUAGCAAUCCUAAUGUAAUUGAACAGGCCAUCCACAACCAAGGAACUAAAGAUAAAUGGUGAAGCUGGGUGUGUCCAAGGUGUUCACUGAGAGGUCGUUUGAUGGCCACAGGACACGCGUGUCCUGUUUAGUUGAUUUUUUCAUCAAACGUUGGACACAGGACAAGCUGGACAGGACGGAUGACUAGACAAGAGUAUAAAUAUUUUUUUUGUUCCAUUAUGUUCCGAGCUAACCCUCGGAACAGACAAGACAGAACUUCCUCUCCCGCCCCCAACGACCACGACCCCAACCCCGAGCCGUCGACGCCAUCUUCUUCUCCUCCACCUCCGCCCCCAUCUCCCCUGCCUUUCUCCUCUUCUCCGCCCCCGAGCUGCCUUUCUUCUCCAUCUCCUCCCUCGUCUCCGCCUCGUGCUGCCCUAGCCCUUCCCGUUCCGUCGCCCGAGCUGCCCUAGCCCUUUGUUUCUCUCUUCUCCUCUGUCUCCACUGGAGGGCGACCGGUGCAGCAUUGCUUGCAGCAGCGGGCAUCCUCAAGCAGCUCCUCAACAGGGCAUCUUCCAGCGGCUCCUAGGUGGCAGCUUGCGGUGCUGAUAGACCCAACAUCUCUUACAAGCGUUGUAGGAAACUUAAGCUCUCAAACCCCGAUUUUUGACCAUCCAAAGAACCGAUCCAACGACAUUCCAGGUUUAGUGAAGGUCCUAAAUAAAGAAACAUGACAAAAGGACUGGUGCUCUCGUGCGACUGCCUUUCAUUCAGAGAGUCCUGCAUCAACCUUUUUUCACCACUGACCUCCUCUUUAAACUUGUUAAAGAGUGUGAGAGAAUGCUGGAUCACCUUUUUUCAGCAAAUGAGCCAACUCUUUCAUAUGCCACAGAUGGUGGUGAAGCAGAGCCGGAAGAGAAAAAAGUGGAGAGCAGCAAGUCUUGGUUAAAAGAAUCCCCAGAGUUGGAGGAGAUAGAGUACAUGGAGAGCUUGUACAUGAAGAGCACGAUGGCAGCAUUUCGAGCUUUGAAGGAAAUUAGAAGUGGCAGUUCCACUGUUAGUGUCUUUUCUUUGCCUCCCCUUCAAAAUGUGGGGGUAGAUGAAUGUUGGAGUAAGAUACCUUACCUAGAACAAAUUUAGAAAAGAACUUUGGUAACUUGAAUAUGUUGUACAGUAGUCAAAUGAGAUUACUAGAUGACAAGGUUUUUGCAAUGUUCUAACACAAAGGAAGAUGAAAUAUAGUGAUGCACCUUGAUAUAUGCCCAAAGUCCUUUCUCUAUAGCGCAAUUCAAUUUUAUUGUACUUUGAACCUUCUAACCCUGUAACAAGUGUACCAUGACUUUCACCUUCACUUGGUCUCCUUCUGAACUCGGUUAGUUAAAGUUAUCACUCUUUUUUCAGUAUUUAUCAUUCAGAGA